UUAAUUAGUGAAAUCAGUGAAGAAUUUUCGAUAUGUUGAGAAAACAUCAGCGGAGUGUAAUGAAGACUCGUAUUUGGCAAUUUUACAUCUCUCAAGAGUAGAACUGCAUUGCAAGUUGCAAGAAAAAUUGCACCGUGUAACAUGGCCUUAACUAAACUAUAAAAUACAAUAUAAUACUCGUUGAUACUAUACUAUUAUCGAUACUUAAAAACUAUAAAAUGUCUUUAUUAAGGGUCUAUAAAAUGUCUUUAAUAAGUGUCUAUAAAAUGUCUU